GACGAACGCUGGCGGCGUGCCUAAUACAUGCAAGUAGAACGCUGAAGGAGGAGCUUGCUUCUCUGGAUGAGUUGCGAACGGGUGAGUAACGCGUAGGUAACCUGCCUGGUAGCGGGGGAUAACUAUUGGAAACGAUAGCUAAUACCGCAUAAUAGUAGAUGUUGCAUGACAUUUGCUUAAAAGGUGCAAUUGCAUCACUACCAGAUGGACCUGCGUUGUAUUAGCUAGUUGGUGAGGUAACGGCUCACCAAGGCAACGAUACAUAGCCGACCUGAGAGGGUGAUCGGCCACACUGGGACUGAGACACGGCCCAGACUCCUACGGGAGGCAGCAGUAGGGAAUCUUCGGCAAUGGACGGAAGUCUGACCGAGCAACGCCGCGUGAGUGAAGAAGGUUUUCGGAUCGUAAAGCUCUGUUGUAAGAGAAGAACGAGUGUGAGAGUGAAAAGUUCACACUGUGACGGUAUCUUACCAGAAAGGGACGGCUAACUACGUG
rnacentral:rRNA from 1 species